ACACACACACACACACACACACACACACACACACACACACACACACACACACACACAGUUUGUCAGUAUAUGUUUAAUAGUCAGUCCAGUUGGAGAUGAAGGAUCUACAUUUACAGUGUACACACCAUGACAACAUUAGAAUAUACCUCAGACAACUUGUUGGUACACACAAGAUAUUUUGGAGAAGAAGUCCAGGUGUUUUGAUGCAGGACAGUUAGUGAAGGUGAUUACAUCAUCAUUAAUAGGCAAGACAGAAGUUAACAUGAGGGGGUUGCUUGCAAGGAGUGUCACUCAGGUACGUAAGAUGAUGUCACUCAGGUACGUAAGAUGAUGUCACUCAGGUACGUAAGAUGAUGUCACUCAGGUACGUAAGAUGAUGUCACUCAGGUACGUAAGACACCUGCCAGACGAUGAUGUGACUCCGCUCUGCUUU